rnacentral:rRNA from 1 species
UACAGAGGUCUCAAGCGUUGUUCGGAUUCAUUGGGCGUAAAGGGUGCGUAGGUGGCGCGGUAAGUCGGGUGUGAAAUUUCGGAGCUUAACUCCGAAACUGCAUUCGAUACUGCCGUGCUUGAGGACUGGAGAGGAGACUGGAAUUUACGGUGUAGCAGUGAAAUGCGUAGAGAUCGUAAGGAAGACCAGUGGCGAAGGCGGGUCUCUGGACAGUUCCUGACACUGAGGCACGAAGGCCAGGGGAGCAAGCGGG